UUAAAAAAACACACAAAACCACCAACAACACGAAAAUCUUUCGCACGCCUAUGCUUGCUGAUCUGUUGCUGUGGCUGAAGGAGCUCCGGGAAGAAUUCACAGGGCUUUUCUGGAAGUGGGGCCUUUGGUGAAGAAGCUUGGACUGGAGAGCGCCUGCAGGUCUCUAACCAUCGGACUAAUCGGCCCGGGCAGUUGGGAAGCCAGACUCGAAGGAACCGCUGGGCUAAAGCCAGCCCAUCCACAGCAAUUUUACAGAGUCCAGGGAUCAAGAGGAGAUGUUCCAUGUGGUUCUCUGUGGACGCUGCUGGAUGCCAUGUGACUAAGACUUUUCAAGGUCUUAAGACUGGGAAUGAGAAGGCACUUAAAUCUUUUGGGAAGUUUCCCCGCCUCAUUGAAACUAGCAACUGAAUCUUAAGGAAGAUUUCUCCAUUUCCUAGUUUGCCUCACUGAUGACCCUAUCACUUUCUGUUGGCUGUAAAAGACUGGCAUAACAACUUCAUAGAUGCAGAUGAUUUUCCACACUUAAAAGCAACUGAACAACUCUUGAGAAGGCUGUAUCUAUACUUCAAGAUUGACUCUGUAAGAAUAAAAACACUACAAUAAAAAUAGAAGACAAAAAACUCUGUUUAACAAC